UAUGAAGGUCAGGCUGAAGACCUUACCCGAUUAGCUGAGAGGUGGUGCAUGGCCGUCGUCAGUUCGUACUGUGAAGCAUCCUGUUAAGUCAGGCAACGAGCGAGACCCACGUCCACAGUUGCCAGCAUACCCUCCGGGGUGAUGGGUACACUGUGGAGACCGCCGCUGCUAAAGCGGAGGAAGGAGUGGGCAACGGUAGGUCAGUAUGCCCCGAAUCUCCCGGGCUACGCGCGGGCUACAAUGGUUGGUACAAUGGGCAUCUACCCCGAAAGGGGAAGGAAAUCUCUUAAAGCCAAUCGUAGUUCGGACUGAGGGCUGCAACUCGCCCUCAUGAAGCUGGAAUCCGUAGUAAUCGCGUUUCAACAGAACGCGGUGAAUACGUCCCUGCUCCUU
rnacentral:rRNA from 1 species